AUUGAACGCUGGCGGCAGGCCUAACACAUGCAAGUCGAACGAGUGGCGGACGGGUGAGUAAUGUCUGGGAAACUACCCGAUGGAGGGGGGUACCUCCUGGAAACGGUAGCUAAUACCGCAUACCAUCGGAUGUGCCCAGAUGGGAUUAGCUUGUAGGUGAGGUAACGGCUCACCUAGGCGACGAUCCCUAGCUGGUCUGAGAGGAUGAGCAGGCACACUGGAACUGCGACACGGUCCAGACUCCUACGGUAGUCAGCAGUGGGGAAGAGUACACCAUGGGCGCAAGCAUGAUGCAGCCAUGCGGCGUGUAUGAAGAAGGCCUUCGGGUUGUAAAGUACGUUCAGCGGGGAGGCGUUACCCGCAGAAGAAGCACCGGCUAACUCCGGGCCAGCAGCCGCGGUAAUUC
rnacentral:rRNA from 1 species